rnacentral:ncRNA from 1 species
GGUUCCCAAGGUGGUAAAGUGUGGCAACCACGCGCCUUUCGGGCUAAAAGAGAUGCAGGGACAGCCACUCCUGCUGGGAACU